rnacentral:rRNA from 1 species
UACGGAGGGGGCUAGCGUUGUUCGGAAUUACUGGGCGUAAAGCGCACGUAGGCGGCUUCUCAAGUCAGGGGUGAAAUCCUGGAGCUCAACUCCAGAACUGCCUUUGAUACUGAGGGGCUCGAGUCCGGGAGAGGUGAGUGGAACUGCGAGUGUAGAGGUGAAAUUCGUAGAUAUUCGCAAGAACACCAGUGGCGAAGGCGGCUCACUGGCCCGGUACUGACGCUGAGGUGCGAAAGCGUGGGGAGCAAACAGG